GUGGAUCACAGAGGGCGGGUUAGAGAGGGCUGAUCCCAUUGGGCAGUCUCUCGGCUGCGUUGUAGUCGCUGGAAACUGGGUGGAAAUGAAAGCGCCAGGCCAGAACCGGUGGCUCAGAGGCAGCACCUCAGAGGCGGCCUGUUGCCUUAGCAACCGUGGAAGGCUGCAUAAUCAUUUCUGCGGGAGAUCUACCCAGGACUGAGUGGACCUGUUGGGUGGUAGGAGAGCUUUCUAGAAACCACCACAGCACCAGUCUUGAGAAAAGCAGAAGACAUCAUCCCUGGAGAGGCAAGG